UAGGAGCUUUGUCUGGACUCCAAGAGGAGCAACAAGCAGCUUAAAGGAUGCUGAUCCUUACACCCAAACAAUGUACAGAAGCUGGGGAUUCCUGUGUUUGAAUUAGGAAAAGACUGGAAGAAGCUAAGGAGGAGGAUCACCCUAUAGGAAAACCGAGAGUUUCAACUGACCUAGAAACCUGAGAUCACUCAGACACUGAGCCAACAAACAGGUGAGUGCAACAAAUUGGUGGCCGGCACGGGGACCGAGGAUCUCGUGGAUUCAGAACUCUUCAGCUGAGGAACGGCGGUACCGUCUCUUAAACAGAGUCGCCUCCUAUCUGAGUAGGAAAUUGGUCGGCUAAAGCAGAGCAGUUGUCCAGAAAGCUGCUCCUCCAGAUUGCCAAACUCAACAGCACUCGCCUGGACCCUGUCACCUUGGGGACUUUACCUCCUGGAUCACCAAUGCCAUCUCAUUUUUUAAGGAAUGGGCGGGAAUGUUGGCCUGGGGGGCAGUGGUCCUCCUGGGUUGUGUCUUUUGUAUCUGGCUAUAAACGAGAGCACGCUCAGUAUAAGGCAGUGGUGUACCAAGCAUUGAUGGCGAUUAAAGAUGGCGCAUCUCCCAAUG